rnacentral:rRNA from 1 species
GACGAACGCUGGCGGCGUGCCUAAUACAUGCAAGUCGAGCGCAGGAAACUGACGGAACUCUUCGGAGGGAAGGCAGUGGAAUGAGCGGCGGACGGGUGAGUAACACGUAAGGAACCUGACUCAAGGAUUGGGAUAACUCCGAGAAAUCGGAGCUAAUACCGGAUAGUUCAACGGACCGCAUGGUCCGCUGAGGAAACGCGCUCCGGCGUCACCGUGAGAUGGCCUUGCGGUGCAUUAGCUAUUUGGUGGGGUAACGGCCCAACAAGGGGACGAUGCAUAGCCGAACUGAGAGGGUGAUCGGCCACACUGGGACUGAGACACGGCCCAGACGCCUACGGGAGGCAGCAGUAGGGAAUCUUCCACAAUGGACGAAAGUCUGAUGAAGCAACGCCGCGUGAGUGAUGAAGGUUUUCGGAUCGUAAAACUCUGUUGUAAGUGAAGAACACGUACGAGAGGGAAUGCUCGUACCUUGACGGUACCUUACGAGAAAGCCACGGCUAACUACGUGCCAGCCGCCGCCGUAACAC